rnacentral:rRNA from 1 species
UACGGGAGGCAGCAGUGAGGAAUAUUGGACAAUGGGCGGGAGCCUGAUCCAGCCAUGCCGCGUGCAGGAAGACUGCCCUAUGGGUUGUAAACUGCUUUUGUACAGGAAGAAACACUCCCUCGUGAGGGAGCUUGACGGUACUGUAAGAAUAAGGAUCG